rnacentral:rRNA from 1 species
CCUACGGGAGGCAGCAGUGAGGAAUAUUGGUCAAUGGGCGCGAGCCUGAACCAGCCAAGUCGCGUGAGGGAAGACGGUUCUAUGGAUUGUAAACCCCUUUUGUCGGGGAGCAAAUGACGCUACGUGUCGCGUUCUGAGAGUACCCGAAGAAAAAGCAUCGGCUAACCCCGUGCCAGCAGCCGCGGUAAUACGGAGGAUGAGAGCGUUAUCCGGAUUUAGGGGGUUUAAAGGGUGCGCGGGCGGAUGAUCAAGUUGGCGGUAAAAGUUAGAGGCUCAACCUCUUAGAGCCGUUGAAACUGGUUUUCUUGAGUGGGCGAGAGGUAGGCGGAAUGCGUGGUGUAGCGGUGAAAUGCGUAGAGAUCACGCAGAACACCGAUUGCGAAGGCAGCAUACCAGCGCUCAACUGACGCGGAUGCACGAAAGUGUGGGUAGCAAACAGGAUUAGAUACCCUAGUAGUC